CACGCUAGCUGGUCUCUCUCUGAGUCUCUGAUGCUUAGGGUUUCUUUCGUCUCACUUUCCUCCUAGAGAGUCGACCAGAGACUUUACUAUACGGAUUCUUCUUGGCGUUUUUACCUCUAUUUUCAAGUCAAGCUCCUGUAAUUUUCUAUUUCCCUCUCUCUCUCUCUCUCUCUCUCUUAUUUGUUUUUUUGUUAUUCCUUCAUCUGCGUUUACUCUUUCGUUUUCUUCUAUACCCUAUCUGAACAACGGUUAUCAUAUUAUAGUUAGGGGUUUUUCUUUGAAUUGUUAGAUUUAUACUUGCUGCUUCUAUUUCGAGUUUAUUUACCAUCGAUUUUGCUGGGAGAUUUGUGCUUUUGGGACAAGGGUUAUACAGGGAGAUUUGGGUUCUGUUG
rnacentral:misc_RNA from 1 species